ensembl:lncRNA
GAUUGAGCACCCGGUAGAAAGGCAGAACCAACUCAGGGGAGCUCAGGUGCAUGCAAUGCACCUGUGUGACCAGAAGGGGGUUGAGCCAGGAUCCACCUCUUCCUAGACCCCAUUUAUGGGUUGGCAGUAUUUGCAAGGGUAUCUUGUGGAAGAUCCCUGUGUACCUGAGACCUUCUAAGGGCAGCCUGGUUGCAACUCCUCUUGUCCAGACCAAAUCUCAUCUUGUAAAUUUUGGGUCAGAAAAAGCCUUCCAUGAGGGACUACUGUUCCAGGAUACUUGAAGCUGGAUUCAAACGCCAGACACAGUCCACAUCUUGUGAAACAGCAUCCCUAACAGAAAUAUGAGAAUUCUCCAGUACAACUUCAAUAAUGCCCUGGAACUUCUCAAAGAUUUUGUAUUUCCUUCUAGACCAGCUCAGCUGAGUAAAUCCAGUUUCUUCAAACUUUCUUCCUGUGCCAAGGCAUUCAACCAUCUAAUCAUAUUGGCAGUCUUUCACUGGACACUCUCCAAUUGUGCAGUGAGGGAUCAAAACAGUCAAUCGUGCAUAACAAUUAUCUCAAAAACAAUUCAUGCUGAGUGCUGCCAAUUUACUGUCUCUUCAACAACUAACAAAGAUGGCCUGAGAGAUUUUGAAAUUUUACAUUUUCCAAAAGUAUUUUAAUUCUUCAAUUCUAUUGGUAUAAUGUUUUGCUGUUAAUUUUUAUUUUUUAGUAAUUUCUGGGGAAAUCUUUAAACUUAAAAAAAAAGGAAAAUAAUCUUAAUUCUGAUAAUUUUACUUUUAAAAAUACGGUGUAGGUUCUCAGCAUUUAUUGAUUGUAAUGGUGGUUGCAAAAUAGCUUAGCAGCUUAAAACAACUUAAAAUAAAUCACUGUCAUGUUUAAAAUCAUAUAUAUUCAACAUACAGACAUUCAUUUAAUCUGAGCAUCACUUUCUGAAAAGAAGUCUAAUGAAUCAAUAGUAGUGAUAAAUAUUCUUUUGUUUCUGCAUAAGCUACAGUACUUGUAUCUAUAAGAGUAGUCGUAGAUGCAUCUGUCAGCUUCAAUUAGAACACUUCUGUUUUCAUGCUGCUAAAGAGAAAGAUCUAUUCAGCAAUUAAGAAAGCAGUACAGAAAAAGAAACUAGUAGAGAAAAGUGGACAGAGUCAUCAGCUAUCAUCUAUCAGACAACAAAGCAGAAUCACUGUGUUUCUGUCUGUCGUGGCCAGAGGGUGAAUCAGUUAAUCAUUUGUAACUUGUAUUUUAAACAACUUUAAUGUAUACAGAUGAAUAUGCCACAGUAUUCUCUCCCUUUCUCUUAAGAGUUUACAUUGUGUGUAAUCUGUUACUUUAAGAUAUACAUUUCUGUAUGCAGAAUAUUAUGGAUUUCUAUUUCUGUAACCAAGCCAAAGGUAGUUUGAUAUUUUUCCCUGAGUCUUCAACUGAAAGAUGAAAAUAAAAGUUAAACAUC